rnacentral:rRNA from 1 species
GACGGGACCCGCACAAGCGGUGGAUGAUGUGGUUUAAUUCGAUGCAACGACGAAAAACCUUACCCACCUUUGACAUGGCAGGAAUCCUAAAGAGAUUUUGGAGUGCUCGAAAGAGAACCUGCACACAGGUGCUGCAUGGCUGUCGUCAGCUCGUGUCGUGAGAUGUUGGGUUAAGUCCCGCAACGAGCGCAACCCUUGCCAUUAGUUGCUACGAAAGGGCACUCUAAUGGGACUGCCGGUGACAAACCGGAGGAAGGUGGGGAUGACGUCAAGUCCUCAUGGCCCUUAUAGGUGGGGCUACACACGUCAUACAAUGGCCGGUACAGAGGGUAGCCAACCCGCGAGGGGGAGCCAAUCCCACAAAGCCGGUCGUAGUCCGGAUCGCAGUCUGCAACUCGACUGCGUGAAGUCGGAAUCGCUAGUAAUCGCGGAUCAGCAUGUCGCGGUGAAUACGUUCCCGGGUCUU